rnacentral:rRNA from 1 species
CUUAACCUAGCGGCGGACGGGUGAGUAAUGCUUAGGAAUCUGCCUAUUAGUGGGGGACAACAUCUCGAAAGGGAUGCUAAUACCGCAUACGUCCUACGGGAGAAAGCAGGGGACCUUCGGGCCUUGCGCUAAUAGAUGAGCCUAAGUCGGAUUAGCUAGUUGGUAGGGUAAAGGCCUACCAAGGCGACGAUCUGUAGCGGGUCUGAGAGGAUGAUCCGCCACACUGGGACUGAGACACGGCCCAGACUCCUACGGGAGGCAGCAGUGGGGAAUAUUGGACAAUGGGGGGAACCCUGAUCCAGCCAUGCCGCGUGUGUGAAGAAGGCCUUUUGGUUGUAAAGCACUUUAAGCGAGGAGGAGGCUACCGAGAUUAAUACUCUUGGAUAGUGGACGUUACUCGCAGAAUAAGCACCGGCUAACUCUGUGCCAGCAGCCGCGGUAAUACAGAGGGUGCAAGCGUUAAUCGGGUUUACUGGGCGUAAAGCGCGCGUAGGUGGCCAAUUAAGUCAAAUGUGAAAUCCCCGAGCUUAACUUGGGAAUUGCAUUCGAUACUGGUUGGCUAGAGUAUGGGAGAGGAUGGUAGAAUUCCAGGUGUAGCGGUGAAAUGCGUAGAGAUCUGGAGGAAUACCGAUGGCGAAGGCAGCCAUCUGGCCUAAUACUGACACUGAGGUGCGAAAGCAUGGGGAGCAAA